rnacentral:tRNA from 1 species
GCGGGAAUAGCUCAGUUGGUAGAGCGCAACCUUGCCAAGGUUGAGGUCGCGAGUUCGAGUCUCGUUUCCCGCUCC